AUUUGACCUCAAAUCAGGUAGGAACACCCGCUGAACUUAAGCAUAUCAAUAAGCGGAGGAAAAGAAAAUAACAAUGAUUCCCCUAGUAACUGCGAGUGAAGAGGGACAAGCUCAAAUUUUAAAUCCAUCGGGUUUUACCCGAUCGAGUUGUAAUUUGAAGAGGCGUUUUCUGUGUUUCUGAUCAGUCCAAGUCCUUUGGGAUAAGGCAUCAUGGAGGGUGAGAAUCCCGUCCGGUUGAUCAGAUUCGCUUUACGAUACGCUUUCUAAGAGUCAAGUUGUUUGGGAUUGCAGCUUAAAAUGGGAGGUAAAUUUCUCCUAAGGCUAAAUAACGGCGAGAGACCGAUAGCGAACAAGUACCGUGAGGGAAAGAUGAAAAGAACUUUGAAAAGAGAGUUAAACAGUACGUGAAAUUGUUGAAAGGGAAACGAUUGAAGCCAGUCGUACCUUCGGGUAAUCAGCCUUUCGGGUGCGAUUAUGUGGAGUGUGAGGAGCUUAAACACCUUCAUGUUUUGUAUAUUCGUACUCUUGGGUGUACUUGCCCGUGUGGUUGGUUAACAUCAAUUUUGGUGGUCAUAAAAUGACUGGAGGAAUGUAGCUUCGAUCUCGUAUUGAAGUGUUAUAGCCUUCGGUAGAUGUGAUGAUCGAGAUUGAGGAUUGCAACGGAUACCCUUCGGGGCUACCUGUCUGAUCUCUGAUCGUUGCUCUGGUGCCGAAAGCUUGCUUACGGUUAUCAAAGUCGAUGGUCAAUAGGUUAGAACGGGUUAAAUUCGUUAAGGAUGUUGACGUAAUGGCUUUAAACGACCCGUCUUGAAACACGGACCA
rnacentral:rRNA from 1 species